UACGUAGGCAGCAAGCGUUGUUCGGAAUUACUGGGCGUAAAGCGCGUGUAGGCGGCCCGGUAAGUCCGCUGUGAAAAGUCCAGGGCUCAACCCCUGGGAUGCCGGUGGAUACUGUCGGGCUCGAGUCCGGAAGAGGCGAGUGGAAUUCCUGGUGUAGCGGUGAAAUGCGCAGAUAUCAGGAGGAACACCAAUGGCGAAGGCAGCUCGCUGGGACGUGACUGACGCUGAGACGCGAAAGCGUGGGGGAGCAAACAGG
rnacentral:rRNA from 1 species